AUGGCCAUGGCAUGGCGACCUCCACGGACGAGGAAAGGAGAGGAGGACAAGCAGUCCCUGACGCCAAGUAUUCCUCAGGGUCCCAGCACAAGGACAAGCAGCGCCAAUAACAUCUUCUUCCAUUCAGCCCAAGGACAAGCAGCAGCAGCGACCACAGCAGAUGUAGCCAUGCAGGGGUGGACGAUGACGCUCAGCAGCAGUAGCAGCUCAAGGCAGCGGUGCUGA
rnacentral:rRNA from 1 species